GACGAACGCUGGCGGCGUGCCUAAUACAUGCAAGUAGAACGCAGUUGCGAACGGGUGAGUAACGCGUAGGUAACUGCCUCAUAGCGGGGGAUAACUAUUGGAAACGAUAGCUAAUACCGCAUACUGUGAGAUGGACCUGCGUUGUAUUAGCUAGUUUGUGAGGUAAAGGCUCACCAAGGCGACGAUACAUCGCCGACCUGAGAGGGGGAACGGCCAAACUGGGACUGAAGAAAGGCCCAGGAUCCUACGGUGUGCAGCAGUAGGGAAUGUUCGGACAUGGACGGAAGUCUGACCGAGCACCGCCGCGGGAGGGAAGAAGGUUUUCGGGUCUGAAAGCUCUGUUGUGAGAGAAGCGGUAACUACCCAGAAAGGGACGGCUAACUACGUGCCAGCAGCCGCGGUAAUAC
rnacentral:rRNA from 1 species